UAUAGAUCAUCUCCAGACUGCUUGCCACGUUUAUAAAGCUCUGCCAUAUUAAAACAACCGUCCGUUCAUACUGCACUUAAACCGCUCGGCAGUCACGUGACGUAUCGACGCCUCUCGCUCUCAUUGGUCACGUGAUUCGAAACGUGCUCGAGAUUCUGCUUGACGACACUUCCGCUUCAAAAGAUCGACGCUGAGUCGAGCGGAAGGUCUCGAGUUGGACAUCUCUAAGCGUAGUAGAACCUACGAUCCCGAAUCUGACCCUGAAGCUGAAGAGGAGGCUGUUGAAGUCACCACAUUUCGGCUGAUGCAAGAUGUGUCUCAUUGUUGUUACAGGUAUCCAGUCUACAGAGGCUAGUGAGCUGGUGCUGAGGAUUCCUGGGUUGAAGAAUCUGAGUUGCCAUCUCUUCAUGCUUUCAUUCAGUGAAAUACGUUAUAGUUAUAGAAGUCUGGGGGUUUAAAGACAGAAGCUUUUGCAGGACCUUGCAGAUGAAAUGCUUGAUGGAAAUAGGGUAAACAGUCCAUGUCCUGGGUAGGGGGUACACUUGGUUAUGUUGGAGAUUUGUUUCUCCAGCAGGACAGGUAUAGUUGUAAAUAGAUGACCAGGGGCCCGUUUCAAGAAGGUGGUUUUGUGGAAACUCUGAGUUUGUUAACCCCGAAAUGAGGAAAACUCAGAGUUUUCGGUUUCAGAAAGCGGGGUUACUUAAACCCGUAAAGCGGGGUACGUUUAAACCCGUUUCAAGAAGCGAGGUAAUCGAAACUCAGAGUCAGUUACUAUGGAAACUUACUCUGUGAACCAAACCUGGUCGGGAGCAGGUUUAAUUCGGGAAAUCCAGAGUUUCCUUCAGUCUCCGCCCCUUUUUAAAGUGAACAGUGUUUAAAUACCUCAUUUAAUCUUUCAGUGCAUUCAUAGAUUUCACCUGUUUCCUUCGCGCAGAGACCAAAAUGUCCGUUUCUAGAGGAUCCUGUAGAUGAGGACGCUGUAUUAAUUCACACGUCAUUGAAUUUACGCCGCAAAAGGAUUUUGACGCCACAAGUUAAUUUUCUGUCAUAACGCCGUGCAUAUUUAUUUGAGCGGUACCGUUUUUCUCGAGACUCCAUACAUAUAUUAAUAAUCUUAUUCACCCAUACGUCAAACACAUCACCCACCGUGGCCGUGCUUUUACAUCCGAACAGAUUCUUUGUGUUGCGUUACGUUUUUUUGCAAACGGUAGUUUUCUUUAUAACAUUGGAGAUGCUGAGCACAUUAGUGAAGCCACUGUGUGUAGAAAAGUUUGACCUCAAGCGCUUUCCUUGACACAAACUCCUUAAAGCCAUUAAAGAGGAGUUUCACAGGAUUGCAGAUAUGUGGUAAUUUUUUUUUUCAUUGAGGCUAAUCUGAAAAAUGAUGAUCAGUUAAUAAUAUCUUGCUGUGAUCUGAAAUAAACUGAUAAAUGUGCAGGUUCACUGACUACUCUACUCUAAUGGUCACUGUAACUGAUGUAUCAUUGUUUACAUCACCAAGAUCAUAUGUGAUGCUGCACAUAUCAUAAACGUGAACUCAUGAAUAUAUCGUGAGUCAACCCUAAAUAACAGCCUGCACUGGGGUAAGUACAUGUAUAUCCUAUACACUUAUUUCAAAGCAUGCGCUCCACACUCACAGGAACACUUCUAUGCAGCACGAAAGUAAUGUGAACUUUCUUCUAGGAGAGAUUGACAGCUUUCUGCUGGAGAUAGGGGUCACCCAUGCCAGCCCACACUACUGACCCCUCACCCAGAACCUGAAGCAGGCCCCCAGCAGCGCUUUGUCACUGCAGAACAAGAGCCCGGGUGGAAAUGACAAUAGGCCUGUUGAAAGCAUGUCUUCAGUGCCUACGUCACCUCAGGGAAACACCUGAGAGGCCUGUGACAUUAAUGUGGCAUGUGUUGUUCUCCACAUUAUUGCAAUUAUUAAAAGGGGAGCAACACCCUGCCCUACAAAUACAAGACCCUGAGGAAGACUCCUUCCAUCAUGGUAAUCUGCAGAGUGGAUGGACAGAUUUGCUUUAAUGUCUUAAUCAACCAUCACCACCAAUAAAAGAAACUGAAUAGAUGUAAAUCAUAA